GGUCCAUGAUGAGCUGUAAAAGGUCUGAGCCUGUAAACCCCGCCCCCCACAGCGCCUCGCACUCCCAUGAGCCCUUGCUCUGCUCCCAGCAUGCUCCAGUGCUGCAACGCUGGCUCAGAGCGCGCUCACAGCAACAGGACGUGACAUCACAGUGGGCGGGGCCUGUACCCAGCUCCUACAGCGCCGCGGUGAUGAGGUCACGUCCCACAGACCAAUCACAGCGGAGACGGAGGCCGAGGGGCGGGGCAGGCGGUGAUCCCAAGUUUUCAAGCUGAGACC
rnacentral:snoRNA from 1 species